CAUGUGGUUUAAUUCGAUGAUACGCGAGGAACCUUACCUGGGCUCGAACGUAAGAUGACUGUAGGUGAAAGCUUACAUCUCUUCGGAGCAUUUUACGAGGUGCUGCAUGGUUGUCGUCAGCUCGUGCCGUGAGGUGUCGGGUUAAGUCCCAUAACGAGCGCAACCCCUACCUUUAGUUGCCAUCAGGUAAUGCUGGGGACUCUAAAGGAACUGCCUACGCAAGUAGUGAGGAAGGCGGGGAUGACGUCAAAUCAGCACGGCCCUUACGUCCAGGGCUACACACGUGCUACAAUGGCCGAUACAGAGGGCAGCUACCUGGUGACAGGAUGCAAAUCUCCAAAGUCGGUCUCAGUUCGGAUCGGAGUCUGCAACCCGACUCCGUGAAGUUGGAUUCGCUAGUAAUCGCGCAUCAGCCAUGGCGCGGUGAAUACGUUCCCGGGCCUU
rnacentral:rRNA from 1 species